UACAGAGGUCUCAAGCGUUGUUCGGAAUCACUGGGCGUAAAGGGUGCGUAGGCGGGUCUUUUAAGUCAGGGGUGAAAUCCUGGAGCUCAACUCCAGAACUGCCUUUGAUACUGAAGAUCUUGAGUUCGGGAGAGGUGAGUGGAACUGCGAGUGUAGAGGUGAAAUUCGUAGAUAUUCGCAAGAACACCAGUGGCGAAGGCGGCUCACUGGCCCGAUACUGACGCUGAGGCACGAAAGCCAGGGGAGCAAACGGGG
rnacentral:rRNA from 1 species